rnacentral:rRNA from 1 species
GACGAACGCUGGCGGCGUGCCUAAUACAUGCAAGUUGAGCGAUGAAGAUUGGUGCUUGCACCAAUUUGAAGAGCAGCGAACGGGUGAGUAACGCGUGGGGAAUCUGCCUUUGAGCGGGGGACAACAUUUGGAAACGAAUGCUAAUACCGCAUAACAACUUUAAACAUAAGUUUUAAGUUUGAAAGAUGCAAUUGCAUCACUCAAAGAUGAUCCCGCGUUGUAUUAGCUAGUUGGUGAGGUAAAGGCUCACCAAGGCGAUGAUACAUAGCCGACCUGAGAGGGUGAUCGGCCACAUUGGGACGGAGACACGGCCCAAACUCCUACGGGAGGCAGCAGUAGGGAAUCUUCGGCAAUGGAAGAAAGUCUGACCGAGCAACGCCGCGUGAGUGAAGAAGGUUUUCGGAUCGUAAAACUCUGUUGGUAGAGAAGAACGUUGGUGAGAGUGGAAAGCUCAUCAAGUGACGGUAACUACCCAGAAAGGGACGGCUAACUACGUG